rnacentral:lncRNA from 1 species
CGUUACUCUGACACAGGCUGCUCAUCCACGCGUAGCGUCGCGGCCUGCAACACUGAACGGCGGUGUGGAUCUAGCACAGCAUUGGGGCUUUCCUUCAUCACAGCGGACCGAGAUCCAUCCGACAAGCCCGGGGUUAGCAUCGUGCAAGAACAAGCAAAAGAAAGGGACAGAGAAACAAAAAAAGUGUACACAAGCAACAAUCAUAUUGCCUACUAGACGACAUGGCAAUUGAAACGAUUUCUUGACACGUCAAUCUAUCCCCUCUUCGCGAAGAUGUCGGCAUGGUGGCCGCCAACUUAUCAAGAAUCAAGAGAGGAAAACGCAAAUAAGCAGGAUAGAUCAACGAAAAAAAGCAUGAAGAAAAUCAAGAAAUUGGGAGAGUUGUAGGGGAUGAAAGGGAAGGGAAUGGCGGCAACGGCAAACGGCCUUGUGGCUCCACGUUGCCACCGCACACUUGAUGCACCGAACAGCACACACUAGCAAGGCUGGCAGGAAGACAACGGCGGAUAGAGGGGGCAUUGCAUUUGUUUUGGAAGGUGCCAACCAUGGCACGCGGCUAGGGUUUGGUCCCCGAUGAGUGGUGAGACGACGACAAGUUGGUUCUAGAAGCAAAUGAGACGGAAUCCUCGCACAGGGCAGAUUAAAUAAUGUCGAACCAACAAGGACGGACAUAAUAAAUUAAGUUAACCGUGGAUGGUCCAAGCAACAGAUUUCAAUCCCAGGUUUAAAUAAAAAAAUUAAUCAGCACAAACACAACAAAGACACAUUUUGACAAUGAAUCCACUUCAUUUUGUCCAGGUUUGCGGUCAAUUUCCCUGAAUUUCACAACCCCACCGUCAUCACUGUCACCAGCCCCAAAGAGCUUCAGGAGGAAGACUUCGCCCUUAGACACGCACGCUGAAACAUUCAGAGCGAAGGACGGGGCACCUGUACAAAAGGACGAAGAUUCAAACGGGUCGGCAAGGGUGGUGUUGGCGGGCUUGCCGGGGGCAAUACAAAUAUACAACGUCCCGAUCAUCACAUCAAUGCCAAUGUUUGUGAUCAAAGAUGGAGGAGCCAGGUUUGGCAGUCUCCGACAGAGUAAUGGGCUCAUGCUUCACAACCGGGUAGGCUUAAACCGAAAUCAUGGGCUCAUGACACACAAGGAUGAGCCAUACACAAACGGGCACAUCAAUUCAAAAGUAGACAGUAAUUACACAUAUGUAAGUAACGCUUGCUAUUGACAGUUUUCAUUAAGGCCGAUGCUUUGUUUCAUAUACACACAAUUAACUUUUACAACUUUUGCACAUUCACGGUAUAAAGUUGUAACAGUGAUUUCAAAGACUGAAAGUACAACAAUUUACAGAUUUUUCAAAAGAACAAUAGAAACACAUGAAUCAUUAUAAAACAUACUCCCUCAUUUUCGGUUUAUAGGCCUUAAAUCUCAAAUCUCAUCAACCAAGAUAAAUUGUAAGAAGAGAUCCUAGUUUUAAUUAACCAAAUGAAAUAUUUCUCACAUAUUCAAUUUCCGAGGCAAUAAAUGUAACAUCCUCCUUCUCAUUGGUCUUGCAUGGAGGAGGUAGAAAACAAUGCAUUCAUGGCCACUCAUUUGCAUUUUCUAAACUCUAUGAAUUAAAUAUGACGAGGAACUCAAAGCAUUUCAACUUAAUUAGACUAAAAAUGAGCCUACAAUAAUAGAAAUCUAAAUUUUUUGAGAUUUGUCAUAUAAUCCGGAAAGGAGGGAAUAUGCAACUUUAAUAUGUUGUUGUACAAUUACGUUUUUCAAGAUAAAUAAGUUAUCAAAGGGGAAAAUCACCAACCCUCAGACAUCCAAUCCAAGGAAGAAAUUAGCAGCAUUGGCAGCCUAACAGGGAGAGAGCUAUUAGCAGCAACUGCCAAUGUUUUGAGAAACAAGCAAUAUGUUUAUCAACAUUGCCAUAUUAUUUUCCCAAUAUCAGUUACUCCCAAAAAACAAAAGAAUUAUAUUGGACAACACGUUCAAUCAGAAGUGACAUAAUAAUAGCCCUAUCAGAGUAACUAUGACAAAAAAUAUAGCUCCAUCUGGACAUAAAUCCAUAGCUAAAAUAUUUAGUUCAUCAUGUAGGGCUAAGGGGAUAAAACAAACAAAUAUUACAGAAACUUACACAAGUCAUAUUAAACAAAUCACGCAAAACACCUGACCUCCAAUACGCACAACUGAUCGUACAAGCGAAAAAAGAUACCCAGUACAAAUAUCUUCGUUAUUGCCGUUACCAUUCAAACACGAAAAUGGUUUAGUUGACGAGGAAUACAGCAUGUUAUAAGCGGUUUUUGGAUUAACGUGAAAUUUCUGUUACCGUUAUUACAUAAUAAUUCCUGCAGUUAAAUUUUUAGCAUUGUUACUGCAUUUCACAGCAGUUUAAUUUUUAACUUUAUUACUGAAUUAAAGGGAUGCAGCAAAACAUUUGUGGUGUUUGCGACUGACUUUCAUUAAGGUUGGGAAUAGUGUUCAGGUAACAACUACAAAGAAUAUUCCAAAUUGUUUCUCCAGAUUAUUUUAAAUUGUUUGCCAGGAUGCACCUGAUAUAAAACCUUUCAACUUUUCUAAGUAAAAGUUUGCAAGGAUGCAUCGAAUAUUUGUGAAGUCUCGUGCUGUUAUUUAACUCACAUCCCUGGUAUAAAUCAUUUCAACUUUUUUAAGUAAAAGUUUACAAGGAUGCAUCGAAAAUUUGUGAAAUCUCGUGCUGUUAUUUAACUCCCAUCUCGUAGGAACAAGAGACGAAGCUGAUGACAACACACAUUCUCCCGAGAUUUUCAGCCUCUUCCACAAAUCAGAAAAACUUGCGAGAGGAUAGUUAAACUCGGCAACAAGAAAAACUAGAGCUAGCAAUAAAACAUACAACAACAGCAAAAAGAAAGAACAGUCCUUUUAUCAAAGAACCUCAGACUAGUCUAGGUUCAUCCUGCAAACACGAUACUUUAUAAAGUUGUGAAUUUUCAGAAGCAGAACUGGCAUGUUUACAAAGUUCACAGAUCAUGGCUCAGAUCGGUAUAACAGGCUUUUCAGUCAUGAAUUUUCAGAAGCAGAACUGGCAUGUUUGCUAAAAGUGUUUAUCAUCACCGCCAUGUACACAUCAACCUAUUAACACACAAAAAAUCAACAGCAGAAAAUAAGAGGGAUUUGGUAUUUGCAGUGGCUCAUAUUAAGAAAUUCAACCAUGUUUUCCCUUGUACUUCACGAGUUAAUCAGAAGCGCGGGUAAGAUUCUAAUCACAGCCACCAAAACCAUCCAAGAUCCGAAACAAAAACAGAGCAAAAAAGAACAGAUGCAAUGCGAAUGUAUCCGUUACUCUGACACAGGCUGCUCAUCCACGCGUAGCGUCGCGGCCUGCAACACUGAACGGCGGUGUGGAUCUAGCACAGCAUUGGGGCUUCCCUUCAUCACAGCGGACCGAGAUCCGUCCGACAAGCCCGGGGUUAGCAUCGUGCAAGAACAAGAAAAUUACUCAUCAACUACAGAAGACCAAGCAGAAAGAAGGGCCGGAGCAGAAGAAAAAGAGUGUACGCAAGCAACAAUCAUAUUGCCUACUGGACGACAUGGCAAUUGAAACGAUUUCUUGACGCGUCGAUCUAUCCCCUCCUCGCGAAGAUGACGGCAUGGUAGCCGCCAACUUAUCAAGAAUCGAGAGAGGAAAACGCAAAUGAGCAGGAUAGAUCAAGGGGAGAAAAGCACGAAGUAAAUCGAGAGAGGGGGCGAGAGCGAGAGGUAGGGGAUGAACGGGGGAGGGGGGAGGGGGCGGCGGCUGCUGGGAACCCUAGGAGAGUGGUGGGAUUGGGGGAUCGCUUCGGAGUAU